rnacentral:rRNA from 1 species
UUCCCUACGGGGCGCAGCAGUGAGGAAUAUUGGUCAAUGGCCGCAGGGCUGAACCAGCCAAGUCGCGUGAGGGAUGACGGUCCUAUGGAUUGUAAACCUCCUUUGUCAGGGAGCAAAGGGCGCCACGUGUGGCGUUUUGCGAGUACCUGAAGAAAAAGCAUCGGCUAACUCCGUGCCAGCAGCCGCGGUAAUACGGAGGAUGCGAGCGUUAUCCGGAUUUAUUGGGUUUAAAGGGUGCGUAGGCGGACUGUUAAGUCAGCGGUAAAAGCCCGGGGCUCAACCCCGGCGAGCCGUUGAAACUGGCU